GUGAUUCAGUGGUAGAAUGCUUGUCUGCUACACAGUAGACCUGGGUUCAAUUCCUGGC
rfam:Alligator sinensis unplaced genomic scaffold scaffold140_1, whole genome shotgun sequence